UACGGGGGGGGUAAGCGUUGUUCGGAAUUACUGGGCGUAAAGGGCUCGUAGGCGGCCAACUAAGUCAGACGUGAAAUCCCUCAGCUUAACUGGGGAACUGCGUCUGAUACUGGCGAGCUUGAGUGCAGGAGAGGAACGCGGAAUUCCAGGUGUAGCGGUGAAAUGCGUAGAUAUCUGGAGGAACACCGGUGGCGAAGGCGGCGUUCUGGACUGCAACUGACACUGAUGAACGAAAGUGUGGGGAUCAAACAGG
rnacentral:rRNA from 1 species